rnacentral:rRNA from 1 species
AGAAAUCUUUAGCUUGCUAGAGAAAGUAAAGUGGCGCACGGGUGAGUAACGCGUGGGUAAUCUGCCUCCGAAUCGGGGAUAACAUUGCGAAAGCGAUGCUAAUACCGGAUAAAAUCUGGUUGGCUUCGGUGAACCGGAUCAAAGGUGGUCUCUUUAUAAAAGCUACCGUUUGGAGAUGAGCUCGCGUACCAUUAGCUAGUUGGUGAGGUAAAGGCUCACCAAGGCGACGAUGGUUAGCUGGUCUGAGAGGAUGAUCAGCCACACCGGAACUGGAACACGGUCCGGACUCCUACGGGAGGCAGCAGUGAGGAAUUUUGCGCAAUGGGGGAAACCCUGACGCAGCAACGCCGCGUGAGUGAUGAAGGCUUUCGGGUCGUAAAGCUCUGUCAGGUGGGAAGAACCCACCAAGUGUUAAGACCACUUGGUGCUGACGGUACCACCGAAGGAAGCACCGGCUAACUCCGUGCCAGCAGCCGCGGUAAUACGGGGGGUGCGAGCGUUAUUCGGAAUCAUUGGGCGUAAAGGGCGCGCAGGCGGUUUUGUAAGUCAGAUGUGAAAUCCCGGGGCUUAACCCCGGAAGUGCAUAUGAAACUAUGAGACUUGAGUAUGGGAGAGGGAAGCGGAAUUCCUGGUGUAGCGGUGAAAUGCGUAGAUAUCAGGAGGAACACCGGUGGCGAAGGCGGCUUCCUGGACCAAUACUGACGCUGAGGCGCGAAGGCGUGGGGAGCGAACAGGAUUAGAUACCCUGGUAGUCCACGCAGUAAACGUUGAUCACUAGGUGUAGCGGGUAUUGACCCCUGCUGUGCCGGAGUUAACGCAUUACGUGAUCCGGCUGGGGAGUACGAUCGCCAGAUUCAAACUCAAAGGAAUUGACGGUGGCCCGAACAAGCGGUGGAGCAUGUGGUUAAUUCGACGCAAAGGGAAGAACCUUUACCUGGAAUUGACAUCUCGGGAAUUCCGGUGAAAGACGGGAUUGCCUUCUACGAGGAAUCCUAUGACAGGUUCUGCAUGGCUGUCGUCACCUCGUGUCGUGAGAUGUUGUGGUUAUGCCCGCUACUGUGCGUACCCCUAUCUUCACGUACCAUCAUGUGAUGCUCGUGGACUUUUGGUAUACUGCUCCUGUUAACGGUGAUGGAGGUGGGGAUGACGUCAAGUCCUCAUCGCCUUUAUGUCCAGGGUACACACGUGUACAAUGUAUGUACAAAGGGAGCGAUCCCGCGAGGAGGACUAAUCCCUAUAAGCAUAUCAAAGUUCGGAUCGGAGUCUGCAACUCGACUCCGUGAAGUUGGAGUCGCUAGUAAUCGCGGAUCAGCAUGCCGCGGUGAUACGUUCCCGGGCCUUGACACACCGCCCGUCACACCAUGAGAGUUGGCUG